UACAGAGGAGCCAAGCGUUGUCCGGAUUGACUGGGCGUAAAGCGCACGCAGGCGGAUGCGCGCGUGGGGUGUGAAAUCUGGCCGCUUAACGGCCAGGCGCCAUCCCAUACGGCGCGUCUGGAGUGAUGCAGAGGUCGGUGGAAUGCCGGGUGUAGUUGGUGAAAUGCGUAGAGAUCGGCAGGAACACCCAGGGGGAAAACCGAGCC
rnacentral:rRNA from 1 species